CCUACGGGAGGCAGCAGUGGGGAAUAUUGGACAAUGGGCGAAAGCCUGAUCCAGCCAUGCCGCGUGUGUGAAGAAGGCCUUCGGGUUGUAAAGCACUUUCAGUGGGGAAGAAAGCCUUGGGGCUAAUACCCUCGAGGAAGGACAUCACCCACAGAAGAAGCACCGGCUAACUCCGUGCCAGCAGCCGCGGUAAUACGGAGGGUGCGAGCGUUAAUCGGAAUUACUGGGCGUAAAGCGCGCGUAGGCGGUCUGAUAAGCCGGUUGUGAAAGCCCCGGGCUCAACCUGGGAACGGCAUCCGGAACUGUCAGGCUAGAGUGCAGGAGAGGAAGGUAGAAUUCCCGGUGUAGCGGUGAAAUGCGUAGAGAUCGGGAGGAAUACCAGUGGCGAAGGCGGCCUUCUGGACUGACACUGACGCUGAGGUGCGAAAGCGUGGGUAGUAAACAGGAUUAGAUACCCGUGUAGUC
rnacentral:rRNA from 1 species